AUGAAUUUGGAUAGGGAUUAUCCAUAAUCUAAACACAAUUUUUGGGGCCAUAGUUUCUUUAACUGCUUCUCUUGAUUUGUUUUACACUUACCUAGUUUAAUCCAAUCCGUUUAAAGUUGUUCGUUAAAUGGACGAGUAAAGCUGUUUGUUAAAUGGACGAGUUUAAAUUAGAUUGUUUUAAUACGUAAUCCUUUUUGACCAACAGCAAGCCCGCCCAUUUUUGACCUCUGUCACGUUGUAAUAAAUGAUUGGACAAAGUCAUGGCAGCAUCAAAUAUUACCUGGUGGGCUUUCCAGAUCAGGGUUCAUCCGCAACCACGAAAAGGGCUCAGCAGCAGCAGCAGCAGCAGCACCAGUAGUGUCAGCGUGGCACAGAACAUGUUGUAUUGUAUUUGGGACCCCCUUGCCCUGAGUGACCUUAAACCCUAGCCACUGGCUUCAAAAUGGCUCAACUAUUGUAUAUCCCACCAACACUCUCUGUGACUCUUCCAUUAUAUAUGGCGAUCAAAUUUUGAAUAUCA